rnacentral:lncRNA from 1 species
AUGGAUGGGAGUGAGCACCAUAUUUUUAUGAAUACUUUCUCUCUUUUUUUCUACAGCACCAAAGAAAUCCAAAUAAGAAAAGUAGAGAUGAGGGCCAAGGAUCAAGAAUCAGCCUUGUUCCAUCUCAGCCACACUGUCUUAGAACCUCAUGAUUCUGAAAGCUGUUUUCAAGUGAUUCUGCCCCCACAAGGGCAGCAGUUAUUUCCUACACGAUCUACAGGAUAAAGAAAACAAAAAUGAUAACAGUUCUCAAGCUGCUGUAGAAUUGCUAAUUAAGAAGUUCCAUCUAAACAAAAUAAAGGUAUAAAACUUAAUUAUGUUAUAAAUGGCACAAUUGUGAUUCCUUUCUAUCAUUAUAACAUCAUAGAUUAAGGAAGUAAAUAACAUUAUGGUUUUAAAUUUCAAAAACAACUAAAUAUAAUAUUAUUAUUAUAUAAUAACACAGCAGUAUUCAAAUCUCAGAAGUAAAAUAACACAUGAUCUGAGAAUGCAUUUUUUAUGGUUUCAAAAAUGUGUCUAUGUGUAUAUUUCCAAGUGAAUGUGUGUGUGUGUGAGUGUGAGAGUAAACAUUACUCGUUUCUGAUAGUCUGUGUCUUAUUAUGUCAGUGUUCUGCAUUAUAUCUUAAUAAUAAUUGAUAUCCAUUUCAUGAGAGAAAUCUGGCUUAGCACCAAACUGAGGCUUUCCCAUCCUGCCUCUCAUCUCUGUGCAAGAAGGCAGGCAGGGAGAGACCAUACUCACCGCACAGCCGUCAUACAGUGCUUUGAUGUAAGGGUUGUUAUCGUAGGACAUCUCCUCAUCAUUUGAUCCCAGGAACCGAAGUGCUUUGUCAUAACUUCCUGAUGACAUAUCAUACCAGGCAACUGACUGAUGACAGUUGUAGGUGAAAUUUUGCCGAGCAGAAGCAGUCAGAAGUUUUAGGAAUGUCAUUUGUACCAUGUUAAUGGAAUUUCCUUCAACAUCUACAUAUGAAAGCUGGAAAUAAGAAUGAAAAGGCACAUAAAACCUCUUUCCUAAAAUCACCCUUGACAGUAAACUGCAGAUAAGUCCACAGACCUACUUUACCCAAAAGGAAAGGCGUGAGGGAGAGUACCUAGAGAUAGGGCUUUAUGAACCCAGGAUUGCACCAAAAUGUCAGUUACUACUAUAAUCACUGCUUAUAUAUGACAAAAAUCACUUUAUCUCUAGGCUUUGGUUUCCUAAUCAGUAAAUUCCAAGAAAAUAAUGAUUCUGAUUCCAAGAAUUAUUUCAUUAUAUUUGUGUAUCUUUUUAAAAAGGUGAUGAAAUAGUGAAACAAUAAAAACUGAGAAAUCUCAGUGCAAUGUUAAGGUUAGCUGGUUUAUGUUGUUGGAUAUGCUGACUCCUUUCAAACUUUCAUAAUGUAUUUAUUUUGUCCAAAUUUUCAGUCAUGUUCCUGCCUGUUUUAUUUAGGAGCAAUAGUUUUCUAAGGUGUCUAGUUUGGGUUCUUCAAUAUUCAACAGGGAUAUGUCUUUGUUCAUUUUGAGAUGAUGUGGGAAUUAACCUUUUUAUCACCAGCAUCAAAUAUAAUGACCAAGACAACAUGAGUCAAAGUUUGUUGAGUCAAUAUUUAUUUUGUAUGUAUAGCAGGAAAAUAGUCUU